rnacentral:lncRNA from 1 species
GCUACAUUUCAACUAUCAAUUGGUUGAUCACCUGACUGCUGCCUUCAUCCUAGUCCUUGGUUGUCUUUCAUCUUGGCUCUGUCUAUGGCUUAUUGAAUCCUGGAUACCAGCUCCAUUUUUCAGAGCUUUACGUGCUCUGUUCUCACAACUCCAACCAGGAGAAUAUAUAGCAGCUGAGUGUCAGCUGGCAUAAAGAAGAAGAAUUCAGGAGGAUAAAAUAGUUGAAUGAAUUUCCUCUGCUGCAAAGUGUGAAGGGAAAAUAAAAUGGCCAGACACAGAUGUUAAAAAGUGGCUCUUUUCUCCUUCCUGCUCAAGUAAGGGCUGCUCCAUGCUUAGGAAAUGAAUGUCACCAAAGCUCCCUGCUGCUGGACUAUUACGUGCAGCAAGGGUUGAGCACACUGGUAGCUGGAGUGAUUGGCAAGGAUAUGUACCUGGCGUACAACGUCAACAUGGCGGAAGCAAGCAACAGCAUUUAAGCAGAUCUCGCACUGGCACUCACCACAGCAGAGCCCGAGCACUGCGGGGGCCAGCCAUAGUAAGGAGUGAAGGACCUGCACUAAUCAGGUAUGUGAGAUACUUCUCUGGGACUCUCAGAAAUACUUCGGGGAAUUGGAGUUCUUACCUAAACAGGUGGGAACUUCCACUAACAAAGUGUCAUGCAGGAUUAAAAGACAAUGAAUUUUUUUUUCUUCUGGAUUUGGCUCUUAAGCCAUGCUGCUGUAGCUUGCUAACUGGUUAGAAGUUUGACUUCUUAAACUGACAAAUUCUUUUUUUUUUUUUUAAGAUUUUAUUUAUUUAUUUAUUCAACAGAGAUAGAGACAGCCAGCGAGAGAGGGAACACAAGCAGGGGGAGUGGGAGAGGAAGAAGCAGGCUCAUAGCGGAGGAGCCUGAUGUGGGGCUCGAUCCCGUAACGCCGGGAUCACGCCCUGAGCCGAAGGCAGACGCUUAACCGCUGUGCCACCCAGGCGCCCCUUAAACUGACAAAUUCUUAACCUUAUUCUUAGUGACUAAUGCAUUGAUUUCAGUUAACUCCUGCAUUGUUACAUCAUUUUCUCAUUCAAUUGAUUAAAGAUAUUUCCAGUUCUCCAGUGAAGGUUGCUAAAUUUGCAUAUUUAUAUAAUAUAUAAUUUCACUUGAAGUUGAAACGAUACUUAUAUUGAGUUUUCUGAAAAAUUCAAACCAUAGUAUAUAAACUGUUUUUUG